UGCGAAGGCGCUGCACCAGCAGACGGAGAAGACUCUCAAAGAGACGCGCUCCCAGCUGGCUCGGCGGGAGGAGGAGCUGGAGAAGGAGACGCGACGGCACCGCGACGACGUCAGAAGGCUGCGCGAUGAGCUGAAGCGUCGGGAGACGGAGAUCAUGAGGAACAAGGAGGACGAGCUGCAGCGCGCCGCCAUCCUGCACGGCGCGUUCCGCAACUACUUCAGCGCCUCGCCGCAGCGGAGCGGCCGGCUACGUCGGGGCUCGUCCGCAGCGGACCCGGCAGCGGCAGCGGCCGCUGAACCCGAGGACGACCACUGAGAACGGGACCGGACCGGGUCCGGAGCUCGGCCACGGCGGCGGAGCAGGGGUCCAGACCAUGGCGACCUGAGCGGGGGAGUUGCCGGGACCGCCCGACCAAAGACGUGCGAGGUGAAGUUGCCUUGCGUCCUUCUGUGGCGCAGGGACGGGACCAAUGCCGACA